AUCUGUUCGAAAGCUUCGUUUGAUGAUUCCGAGGGUGUGAGUCCCUCUGAUGGAAGAAAUUCUAUGUCUUGAAGAGGUGGUUUGUAGGACACUUUUGGAAACUUACUGUUUGCUUCAAGUUUUCUCAAAGUCUCCGUCUUCUUUGCCAGUGCCUUGCUUAACUUCAAUUGUCGCGUCGGAUUUGGACACCAAGUAAAGCAUUUGCCAAUUUUUCCCUUUUCAUUUUGCAAAUGAUUCACACCUUCAA